rnacentral:lncRNA from 1 species
AGGUGUGUGGGUUAAUCUAGUAAAAACAAGGUGGGGUUUUAAUCUAGAAGACCGGGGUGUGUGUUUUAAUCUAGAAGACCAGGGUGUGUGUUUAAUCUAGAAUACCAGGGUGUGUGUUAAUCUAGAAGACCAGGGAUGUUGUGUUUAAUCUAGAACCAAGGUGUUGGUUUUAAUCUAGAAUACCAGGUGUGUUGUUUAAUCUGAAGACCAGGGUGUGUGUUUCAUCUAGAAGACCAGGGUGUGUGUUUGAACUAGAAGCCCAGGGUGUGUGUUUAAUCUAGAAGACCAGGGUGUGUGUUUAAUCAGAAGACCAGGGUGUGAGUUUAAUCUAGAAGACCAGGGUGUAGGUUAAUCUAGACGACAGGGUGUGUGUUAAAUUUAGAAGACCAGGGUGUGUGGUUAAUCUGUAAAAACAGGGUGUGUGUUUAAUCUAGAGGACCAGGGUGUGUGUUUAAUCUAGAAGACCAGGGGGUGUGUUUAAUCUGGAAGACCAGGGUGUGUGUUCAAUCUAGAAGACCAGGUUGUGUGUUUAAUCUGGAAGACCAAGGUGUGAGUUUAAUCUAGAAGA